rnacentral:rRNA from 1 species
GACGAACGCUGGCGGCGUGCCUAAUACAUGCAAGUUGAGCGAUGAAGAUUUGUGCUUGCACCAAUUUGAAGAGCAGCGAACGGGUGAGUAACGCGUGGGGAAUCUGCCUUUGAGCGGGGGACAACAUUUGGAAACGAAUGCUAAUACCGCAUAACAACUUUAAACAUAAGUUUUAAGUUUGAAAGAUGCAAUUGCAUCACUCAAAGAUGAUCCCGCGUUGUAUUAGCUAGUUGGUGAGGUAAAGGCUCACCAAGGCGAUGAUACAUAGCCGACCUGAGAGGGUGAUCGGCCGCAUUGGGAGUGAGACGCGGCCCAAACGCCUGCGGGAGGCAGCAGUAGGGAAUCUUCGGCAAUAGACGAAAGUCUGACCGAGCAAGGCCGAGCGAGUGAAGAAGGUUUUCGGAUCGUAAAACUCUGUUGGUAGAGAAGAACGUUGGUGAGAGUGGAAAGCUCAUCAAGUGACGGUAACUACCCAGAAAGGGACGGCUAACUACGUG